UCGGCUUGACAUUGUUGAAUUUGUGAAGUCAAUUUCACCUAAGAUUCUUAAUUAUGCGGAAGUGAAUACCACAAGUUGCUCGAGGUUCUGGUUGUGGACAAACGAUUAAGGCGGUAGUACGCAUAUGAGAUUGUCUUCACUUGUGAUACCCGUUCAGGGCUUACUCAUUAGGAGU